AUUGAACGCUGGCGGCAGGCCUAAUACAUGCAAGUCGAGCGGAGCGGCGGAAGGGUGAGUAAUGCCUAGGAAUCUGCCUGGUAGUGGGGGACACCGUCCGGAAACGGGCGCUUAGACCGCAUACUUUAAGAUCAGCCUAGGUCGGCUUAGCUAGUUGGUGGGGUAAAGGCCUACCAAGGCGACGAUCCGUAACCGAUCUGAGAGGAUGAUCCGUCACACUGGAACUGAGACACGGUCCAGAAUCCUACGGGAGGCAGCAGUGGGGAAUAUUUGGCAAUGGGCGAAAGCCUGAUCCAGCCAUGCCGCGUGUGUGAAGAAGGUCUUCGGAUUGUAAAACCCUGUAAGUUGGGAGGCGUUACCUACCGAAUAAGCACCGGCUAACUACGUGCCAGCAGCCGCGGUAAUAC
rnacentral:rRNA from 1 species